rnacentral:rRNA from 1 species
UACGUAGGAUGCAAGCGUUGUCCGGAAUUAUUGGGCGUAAAGAGCGCGCAGGCGGUAUGACAAGUCAGAUGUGAAAGAGGCCGGCUUAACCGGCAAGGGUCAUUUGAAACUGUCAGACUAGAGUGCAGCAGAGGAUAGUGGAAUUCCCGGUGUAGUGGUGAAAUGCGUAGAUAUCGGGAGGAACACCAGUGGCGAAGGCGGGUCUCUGGGCCGGAACUGACGCUGAGGAGCGAAAGCGUGGGGAGCGAACAGG